rnacentral:lncRNA from 1 species
AUAUGUGUCCGAUUUUCCAAUAAUUAGUUCUGUAGCCCGAGUUGUGACUGGAUUUACAGGUGUGCGAUUGCGCAAUUUAUUGCCCUCCAAUUAAUCACCUGAAAUUAAGCUGGAGGUGAAAGUUCUAAAUGGAUUAUCACUUGGUAAUUGUUUUUACAACUAAACAAAUUACUUUAUUUAAACAGAAGCACUGGGCAAUACUAUGGUAUUCAAUCCGGA